GAUGAACGCUAGCGAUAGGCUUAACACAUGCAAGUCGAGGGGCAGCACAAGGUAGCUUGCUAUCUGGGUGGCGACCGGCGCACGGGUGCGUAACGCGUAUGCAACUUGCCCUAUACAGGAGGAUAACCCGUCGAAAGACGGACUAAUACUGCGUAUGCUCACAACUUGGCAUCAAGUGGUGAGGAAAGAAAUUCGGUAUAGGAUAGGCAUGCGUCCCAUUAGCUUGUUGGUGAGGUAACGGCUCACCAAGGCAACGAUGGGUAGGGGAACUGAGAGGUUUAUCCCCCACACUGGUACUGAGACACGGACCAGACUCCUACGGGAGGCAGCAGUGAGGAAUUUUGGUCAAUGGGCGCGAGCCUGAACCAGCCAAGUCGCGUGAAGGAUGACUGUCUUAUGGAUUGUAAACUUCUUUUAUACGGGAAUAACAAGAGUCACGUGUGACUCCCUGCAUGUACCGUAUGAAUAAGCAUCGGCUAACUCCGUG
rnacentral:rRNA from 1 species